UCCCUGGUAGUAUAUCGGUUAGUACACGCGCCUGUCAUUCGCUUAUGGAAGCACGCGCGAAAGCGGGGUUCGACUCCCCGCCAGGGAG